rnacentral:lncRNA from 1 species
ACUAUGGAUGGAUUGUUAGUGUGAAAGAUAUAAUUGGAGGACAUGUAUGGUUAGGUUCCAUUUGUAUAUUUGGUGGCAUCUGGCAUAUCUUAACCAAACCUUUUGCAUGGGCUCGCCACGUACGACGAGUCUGGCAUGUUUAAUAAAACAGUGCUAUUCCAUUUGCAUCAAUGCCAAGUUAAAUAAUACAUAGAAUUUGCCUUUUCAUAAAAAUAAUAAAAAAUCAUACAUGCAUCAUCAUCAUCAUUCGUACAAAAGAUACCAAACCUUUUGCAUGGGCUCGCCAGGUACGACGAGUCUGGCAUGUUUAAUAAAACAGUGCUAUUCCAUUUGCAACAAUGCCAAGUUAAAUAAUACAUAGAAUUUGCCUUUCAUAAAAAUAAUAAAAAAUCAUACAUGCAUCAUCAUCAUCAUUCGUACAAAAGAUAACAGACCCAAAACCAAAAAAACAGAGAAAUGCAUAUUCAAUUG